ACUUAAAGCCUACUUAUUACAAUCAUCCUUUGUUCAACACCCAACUUUAAGGUUCAGUGCAUGACAGGAAACAAUACGUCGUUGAAUGUUUCUGAAGAACAAGAGCAACGCAUCCUGUUAAAGCCAUCAGUAAGGUCUAUUUAUGCUUGCAAGUUUUGGUGUUGCCUUGUGACAACGACAUGGCCAGCCACAGCCCCCAUCUCAUACCUCGACCACAAGCGUGUAUGUGUGCAUAUGUGUGUGGGUGCUUUUUUCCCAGAACAGUGUAAAGGAACGGUCACCUCUGGACAUGAGCUGAGACUUUGUUACAUCAAGGAGGGUCCUGCCUGAGGAGAAAGGUCGCACACUGAAUCUCUCCAAGGUCCAGCCAAUCAUAAUUGAUGCAUCGCAUGUACAGGUUGGUCCAAAUCUGUCACUCGAGUCCAGAGCUCAAUCAGCAGUAAAAACAUGAUGAUCUUGGCCAUUUAUUUUGCAAUGACAAUUUUGAUUGCAUCAUUGCCGGUUGAGACCGAAGACAUUCCUCUUUCGGUUUCUGAAAUAAAAGCAGAACAUGGCGAUAAGGUUACUUUAAAUUUUAGAGUAAUGAAAAAAGACGAUAAGUUUGACUGGUACAAACAAUCUCAUGGAUAUGUUCCCCAAACCGUCGCUCGAAGAGUGUUGGGAAUUUUCUUUUUUUUUCCUCCCUUUAAUUUAACGUUCACAAUGGAAGAAGGGGUUUCUGAUUUCAAUCUGAUCAUUCAAAGUGUAACUAAAGGCGAUGAAGCAAACUAUUUCUGUCGACAACAAUUUUCUGACAGUUGGACUAAUGGCAUAUUUCUGUCUGUCAAAGAUAAAAAUGUCAUGAAGGUAGAUGAAAAGCAAGAUGAAACAGAUCAAAACGUAACGAAGGUUAAUGACAAGCAAGAUGUAACAGAUCAAAACGUAACGAAGGUUAAUGACAAGCAAGAUGUAACAGAACCCUACAGGCAUCUGGUGAUCUCGGUGCAUCGGAUAAUGUUGGCUUGCUGUCUGCUUGUGAUUAUAAUCCUCAUUCUAAUCAUUCAUUACAGGACGGGGAAAACUGAUUCCUUGAACUACGCAGCGUUGGAUCUCUCCGGCAGAGGAAAUCGAAGGAGGGAAGAAGAAAAGUGAAAGGACUCAAGAGAGUGAGGAUUCUGCUGUGAGAGAAACCUGCCACUGAAGUCCAUCAACCACGUCCUAAUAUAGUUUGAUCUGGUGGAUGUGCAUUACUUUUCUAAAAGGGUUAAAAAGUACAAGCUUAAAUUAAGAUAUGAAAGACAAUAAAUAAUAUGAUUCUGACAAAGCUCAAAUAGAACAACAAUUUAACAGCGCUGGAAAGGGGUUUGGUUCAAAAUAUAUAUAUUUUUAAUGGUGACGAGCAAGCAUAUCAUUUUGGGUUGCCUAGUGUAGAUACAUUCAGCCAUUGCAAAGAGACCUAAUGCGCCUGCAUUGUGUUCAUUUUUCAACUUACUCUUCAUCAGAUCAAAUUACUUUUCAAGACUUAUCAAUAUGUUUGCAUUCGUUUUUUGUAAGUUUUUUUUGAUGGACACUUAAGUGUGUAAUAAUUGUUAUUGUUAAUAAUUGCUGUAUUACAUACAAACGCUUGAAAGUAUUCAGACUUGACACGUCAUUUUAUGUUGUUAUGUCAUCUAUCAACCUUACAUGUUUAUGCAACUAGGUGAUGUUUGGUUCAAAAUGUAUAAAUAUCUCUAAGCCUACUUUAACCAUUGAUAUUAAGCAAAACUUAUUGUUGCUAGAAUGUGUAAACUGAUAUUAGUUGGAAUGGUCAAAGAAAUUGUGAUCUUGACGUUCGACACAGCAAUGCUAGACGAUCUGAUUUGUGGGAAAUAAAAAAAAUAAAUAAAAAUAAGUGCAACAAAUAAAAAAAAGCUGUUUCUAAUUAGCAAUGAACACUGCCUGGAUCA